AGGUCGUGGAUGCGCACUGCUGGGGAGUCCCACAAUAGGACGAAAUGACCGUCCAGUGCUUCCAGGUUUUCCUUGGUGGUCUAGCUCAAUUGACUCAUGCUUUAUAAUAUGAAAUCAACCAUUUUAUUCAUAUUAAACUAAUUGAGAUAUAACAAAAAUAUAUUUAUUAUUAACUUUCUAACCAAUGAUCAAUUUAUUUGAAAAUAUUAAGUCCAACU
rnacentral:tRNA from 1 species